rnacentral:lncRNA from 1 species
UUUUAAAAACACGACGUUGUCAAUUAACAAGCAUCAUCUUUUGAAAACGCGCUAAACCAAAAGGCCACUUAAAGCUUAUUUGUCCUCGACCUAAAAAUUUCAGAUUUUACCCACAGCUCGAAAAACAUCUCUCUCUCCUUUUGAAACCCUCCUCCAACUCUUUGAAUCUCCUUCAACUCUCUUCAACAUUCCCCUUCAUCUCAUCUUCUCAGUCUCUUAAACAAAUCUGUAACUGUUAUUUGUUGUCAUCACUAACCUCGCUACCAUAUGAGGUCACCAUUUGUGAUUUAACAUUCGCAAGGCCACUUGAGCCCCUUGGAUAAGGUCGUCACCUAGCUAGCCACCAUAAGAGGUCACUGAGCUCUGCCUCCGUGUAAGUACUUCCAAUCUCAUCUCUCUAUCACAUAUCUGAAGCACCAUCUCCCUUACAAUGUCCAGGUCACCAAGCUCGCGCCGUUGAUGUCACGAGCUAGUUGAGCUCGCCAUUUCCCUUAAGUUACUUAUUGAAUUACAAAUUGUAGGAGUUUUGUUGAUUGGUGGUGUUGUCCAAUAGCAUCGGGUCUCCUCCGCCUUGUGUUAUUGGUAUCUCUGAUUGCUCUGUCUUUGGCCCGUGGUGGAAAUGACAUGGUUUUGGACACUGAUUCCAUCCCCAAACUCCCUCAUGUAACAACCGUUACCUAAUGAUAAGCUCCUUUCAUUGUUAUACUCUUUGUUUUUAAGAGAUUGAGUUCUUAAUUUUUUUUUUUUUCAAUUGUUAAUCUGGGAAUUGAAUUACAUUGAGUUGGGGUUUUUCUUUUCCUUAUGGAAUUCAAUUUCAUGCAGUUAUUUUUUUCCUGCUAAAAACCCAUUUGUACACGGAAAGGCAAGGUAAGGCAAGGCAAGCCAAAGCCAAUGCAAGGCAAGGCAUGUUUCAUCUAAUUUCUCAGGCAAAUGUUUGGAAUUGGGUUAAUGGUCAUUAAGCUGAAACUUUUGAAGGGGUUGGUGCAAAGUUUGGGGCUUUAUUUGUAACACCCACCCCAAAUAAUUAGUUAAUUAUUUAAUAAAUGAGGAAAUUUCUUUUUGCCCUUGGGAGUAGGGGUACUUUAGUCACUUUUUG